UUGUUGAUUUUAAUAAUGGUUCUACUUAAUACCCGACAGAUAAAAUAUCAUAGUAAGAUUAGGAUUAAAUAGAUUAAUCACUAUUAAUUCUAUUAGGAUUAAAAGAUUAAAUUAAUUAAAAUAAAAUUAGUAAUUAUCGAUUUAUUCCAAAAUAUUUUAAUCAUUCACGACUUUAUAUAUGUUCUAGAUACCUAUAAUGUAUUAAGAAAAGUAGAUUUUGAUUCAAUUUAUUUUCAAAAGAAAUUAAUUGAAAAUUUCAUUUUAAAUAAAAUAUACCAGUGGGCGGCUUGAACCUUGGUAGGUAGUAAAAGCUGGAGUGUCAUCCAUCAAACUACAAUCAACUUAACAUUAAAAUAGAAAUUAAAACUAUAUAAUGUUUGAAUUAUGUUACAGAACCAAAAUUUAGUUUUAUAUGAGUUUGGUUCGGAUUUGAUUUUAUAUUUAUAUAAUUUCAACAGUUCUUUCUACUUCUGUUUGAAAUGCUUUUCAAUUUGUUCUCCAAAUUUAUUGUUUAUUUUGUGACUCUUUAUAAUUAUCAAAAAAUUUAACUACAAAUAUAAUUAA
rnacentral:lncRNA from 1 species